rnacentral:rRNA from 1 species
AUUGAACGCUAGCGGCAUGCUUAACACAUGCAAGUCGAACGAGUGGCGGACGGGUGAGUAAUAUAUCGGAACGUGCCCGAUUGAGGGGGAUAACUACUCGAAACAGUAGCUAAUACCGCAUACUAUCCGAUCCGCCGAUAUGGGAUUAGCUAGUUGGUGGGGUAAAGGCUCACCAAGGCGACGAUCCGUAGCUGGUCUGAGAGGAGGACCAGCCACACUGGGACUGAGACACGGCCCAGACUCCUACGGGAGGCAGCAGUGGGGAAUUUUGGACAAUGGGGGAAACCCUGAUCCAGCCAUCCCGCGUGUAUGAGAAGGCCUUCGGGUUGUAAAGUACUUUUGGCAGAGAAGCGGUAUCUGCAGAAUAAGCACCGGCUAACUACGUGCCAGCAGCCGCGGUAAUUC